GAUGAACGCUGGCGGCGUGCCUAAUACAUGCAAGUCGAGCGAACAGAUAAGGAGCUUGCUCCUUUGACGUUAGCGGCGGACGGGUGAGUAACACGUGGGUAACCUACCUAUAAGACUGGAAUAACUCCGGGAAACCGGGGCUAAUGCCGGAUAACAUUUCGAACCGCAUGGUUCUAAAGUGAAAGAUGGUUUUGCUAUCACUUAUAGAUGGACCCGCGCCGUAUUAGCUAGUUGGUAAGGUAACGGCUUACCAAGGCAACGAUACGUAGCCGACCUGAGAGGGUGAUCGGCCACACUGGAACUGAGACACGGUCCAGACUCCUACGGGAGGCAGCAGUAGGGAAUCUUCCGCAAGGGGCGAAAGCCUGACGGAGCAACGCCGCGUGAGUGAUGAAGGUCUUCGGAUCGUAAAACUCUGUUAUUAGGGAAGAACAAAUGUGUAAGUAACUGUGCACGUCUUGACGGUACCUAAUCAGAAAGCCACGGCUAACUACGUG
rnacentral:rRNA from 1 species